rnacentral:rRNA from 1 species
UACGUAGGGUGCGAGCGUUAAUCGGAAUUACUGGGCGGAAAGCGUGCGCAGGCGGUCUGUUAAGACCGAUGUGAAAUCCCCGGGCUUAACCUGGGAACUGCAUUGGUGACUGGCAGGCUUUGAGUGUGGCAGAGGGAGGUAGAAUUCCACGUGUAGCAGUGAAAUGCGUAGAGAUGUGGAGGAAUACCGAUGGCGAAGGCAGCCUCCUGGGCCAACACUGACGCUCAUGCACGAAAGCGUGGGGAGCAAACAGG